rnacentral:lncRNA from 1 species
GCACAGGUCUACAGAGGGCAUGUCUUCAGUUUAAUUACAAAUGAUUGCUGCCGACCACAGCACAGUGCAUUGACUUUUCUGUGCCAGGGCUGACUCAGGCAGGAAGAGGAGGUGGAUUUGGGGCAACGUAAGCGGCGGGGGCUUGCUCAAGUGCUAAAACGCUGCAGUGCAUGGGCAGACCAUACUAAAAUCCCAGGUUUGCCAUGCACGUAUCUGAUCUGAAGCCGUGCCCUCUACAAGCCAGGAGGUCACCCUGAAAGGAUUUUUUUAAAUGCUCUGUGAUUUUUUUUUUUCCAGAGAAGUCCUUGGGAAAGCAAGGAAGACUAUCCACCUCGGGUUCAGCACGCAGAUGCACCUUCCCUGCUGCAUGCAAGAAGUAUAACGUAUUUGUUCGUUACAGGAGAGCUCGUAGCUCUUGUCCCUGAGUCAGGCUACUCACUGCACUCGGUCUCCAUUCAGAAGUCGCCUCCAAGGACCAGCGAUGACAUUUUGGGGUGGAUGCGCUGUGCCUCCCAUACUCCUACGGGGGUCUGCCCACCUUUCCUUUGGGUCCCCUGGUUCACGCCAGGUUCAACAUGAAAUGAAACCUUCUCUCCUCAUUCCUCCUCAGGACAGUAUGUGACAAGAGCCCAAGACAGCAGAGGAAAUGAGGAACUGUCAAACUGGUUAUUUGAAUCAAUUUUCGUUACUGAGGGGGAGGACUUACUUGAUGGGAUGGAAGAACACUUUGAGGAAUUGGGUUUAUUAACUAGGAAGUUAGGCUAAAAUUGCUGAUACUAGGGCAGGCUGAUGACUCCUUAUUCAUGAGAAUCACCAUAAGAGAGUCUCUCUUGCAUUCCCUAUUAGGGUUAAAAUUGUAUCAAUUAUGAAAGCUGUCAGCCUCUAUAAAUUAAGAAAUUCAUGUGCAGUGUGUGUGAGAGAGUAUUUCAUAUGUUUGACAGGGAAUACAUGACCUUGAAGGGUAAGGAUGUGUGAGGAGUGGUGCUGCAG